rnacentral:rRNA from 1 species
CCGCGUGAGGGACGAAGGCUUUCUGAGUUGUAAACCUCUUUCAGCAGGGACGAUUGUGACGGUACCUGCAGAAGACGCCCCGGCCAACUACGUGC